rnacentral:rRNA from 1 species
UGGGGAAUAUUGCACAAUGGAGGGAACUCUGAUGCAGCGACGCCGCGUGAGUGAUGAAGGACUUCGUUUCGUAAAACUCUGUUCUAUGGGAAGAAAAGGACUGUACCAUAGGAGAAAGCUCCGGCUAAAUACGUGCCAGCAGCCGCGGUAAUACGUAUGGAGCGAGCGUUGUCCGGAAUUAUUGGGCGUAAAGGGUGCGCAGGCGGCUUUACAAGUUGGAUGUGAAAUAUUGUGGCUCAACCACAAACGUGCAUCCAAAACUGCAAAGCUUGAGUUAAGGAGAGGUAAGUGGAAUUCCUGGUGUAGCGGUAGAAUGCGUAGAUAUCAGGAGGAAUACCGGUGGCGAAGGCGACUUACUGGACUUAAACUGACGCUCAGGCACGAAAGCGUGGGGAGCAAACAGG